CCUCGGGGCGUACCGCCGGCCUCGCGCGGCCCCGGCCCCCAGACCCAGGCCCGGAAGGCGAGCGUCCGUUUACCUGCUCCCCGCUCUGGCUGCCGCCGCUGCCGCCGCCGCGCCGCUCACCCACGCUGCCAGGAUUGUUCCUGAGAAGAGCCACGCCUGAUCUUUUCACCACUUCCAGGCAGAGUUCAGUGAAAACGAAUUUAGCCAAAUGCCUGACAGCUGCAGGCCCAUUACCCUAAUAGACUGUGACCUUCUGAGCUGAGAAACAUGGUUCCUUGCCCUCAAGAGGAUCAAGUUUGGAGAAAGAUAUCAACAAUCAAAUAGAGUAAUAACAAGCACUGAAAUCAAGUUUAUUUUUAAAAUAUGGAGGAGGAGCACCUUAUUCAACCUGCAUUAAACAGGAAGUACUUCUCAUAAAAUGUAAAGCUCAAGAUGAAUCUUGAAGGAUCAGUAGGAAUUGGCCAAGCUAAGAAACAAAGUAUGUUCCAGACAAAGGCAUAUGUAUCUCCUUGCCUACAAACUGUGGAGAUGGAGCAAGCAAUACUCUGGGCAAAAAGCCAUGCAAGAGCUGCUACAGCAAAGAUAAAUUGAGUUUAAAUUAAACUUUUUCAAAAAUUUUGGUGCAUCACAGAAUUAACAUAUCAUGAGAAAACUCUGAAGUUUGAAAAAUGGAGUUUAAAAGAACAUGAUGGAAGCCCACUCAGCAUUCUCCUGAGAGUUUGAUCACUCAAGUUGACCAGGAAAAGCCAAGUAUUACAUAUGAACAGUGGAAGACUCUUCCAUUUAUUUUUCUUCAAGUCUUGGAUAUCAAAUAAUUCUAAUGAUAAAGAAAAUUUUAUGUCCUUAUUCCAAACUUUAACCUAGCAUAGGAGGGAAAAAUCAUCGCAACAUCUGAAAGAAUGCCAUUACAUCUGCAUUCUAACCAGAAGAAAAAAGGAAAGGAGGAAGGGAAGGUAAUACCUCUUCUUUUUAAGUGGAGGGCACAUAAGUGGAGUCUGACUCUGCCUGUGCAUUUCUUAUAUUGUCAAUUCAGGAGUACUUGGCAGCAAUGUAAAUUAUAAAUAAAUAAAAGACUAGUCAAUUUUUGCUUUGAUAAUAAUUUUCUAAGUUCAAAAGUAUAGUUAUAAGAAUAUAAAGUUAUAAGGAUAUUAAGGUACAGGGUGUAUCAAACCUGCAGUGUCUAAAUCUGUUUCUGGCAAUAAGCCACAAACCCACUGCUUUUCGGGGGGAAAGGUGAAUUCACUAAAAGCUAAGGCAUUGUUUUGCCUGUUAUUCAUAUUAUAAGAUUUUGUAUGAUUUUAAGAUUGUAAUACCUUUAUCAGAAUCUUUAAGAUGUGUAUCUUUUUUUUUUUUUUUUUUGAGCGAGAGAGGUAUAACAUGCACAGGGUGGGGGGAGAGGGUGAGGGAGAAACAGGCUCCCCACUGAGCAGGGAGCCCAAUGCAGGGCUCAAUCCCAACACCCUGGGAUCAUGACCUGAGCCAAAGGCAGAUGCUUAACUGAGCCACCCAGGUGCCCCAUUAAGAUGUGUAUCUUAAACCCCAACAUAAUUAUAAUAGUUUGCCUAAUUUUUCUACCAAAAGUUACAAUAUAACAAAUUUAAUAAUGCCUUUAGAUAAUAAUACUACCUAAAGAUUAAGCAACAAUAAAAUUAGCUUUUACCUUAACAAAGUUAUUUUUUUUGUAAAAUUCGGUUUAUGAGAUACCCCAAAUCUAGGUUCUUAUGAAAAUACUUGAUAAUCAGGCUCCUGAGUAAAAUAUGGAUUGUAUGAAUCCUGUUACAAGUAUGAGCAAUGUUUUCCAGUAAAAUGUUAUGAAUCCUUGAUGUCUAUGUGAUUAUCUAUUGCAUACGCAACAUGUUCCCCAAGUUUAUAAUAGCAUAAAGACUUAUUGUUAACAAUCUGUAGUGACAUGAAUAUGCUUUACAAUCACUACAUGUAAGUGUAAGAUAGAUAAAUAGUUCCCAAUUAUAUGUAUAUAAAAUAUACAUGCAUUGAGACUACCAGUCACUGUCUCUUUAUAAAAUUUCACUCCCCCAUCAAUCUCAACAAAAUUAUUCUCUGCUGACUGACUCUUCAGACCAUUCUUGUGGUCUUCAUUCCAAUUCAUAGAGUCUUCUUCCUUUACCCUCUCCUUCAAUUAGCUGUCUGCAAGU